rnacentral:rRNA from 1 species
AGCGUAUAUUAAAGUUGUUGCAGUUAAAAAGCUCGUAGUUGGAUUUCUGUUAAUUGCUUUAUAUAAUUAUGCUUUGCAUAUUUAUAUAGUAUUAACAUAAUUCAUAUUACUAUUUUUAGUAUAUGAAACUUUACUUUGAGAAAAUUAGAGUGCUUAAAGCAGGCUUUUGCCUUGAAUACUUCAGCAUGGAAUAAUAUUAAAGAUUUUUAUCUUUCUUAUUGGUUCUAAGAUAGAAAUAAUGAUUAAUAGGGACAGUUGGGGGCAUUUGUAUUUAACAGUUAGAGGUGAAAUUCUUAGAUUUGUUAAAGACAAACUAGUGCGAAAGCAUUUGCCAAGGAUGUUUUCAUUAAUCAAGAACGAAGGUUAGGGGAUCGAAGACGAUCAGAUACCGUCGUAGUCUUAACCAUAAACUAUGCCAACUAGAGAUUGGAGGUUGUUCCUUACUCCUUC